GUGCCAGCAGCCGCGGUAAUACGAAGGGUGCCAGCGUUAAUCGGAAUUACUGGGCGUAAAGCGUGCGUAGGCGGUUUGUUAAGUCUGCUGUGAAAUCCCCGGGCUCAAUCUGGGAAUGGCAGUGGAUACUGGCAGGCUAGAGUGUGUCAGAGGGUGGUGGAAUUCCCGGUGUAGCGGUGAAAUGCGUAGAGAUCGGGAGGAACAUCAGUGGCGAAGGCGGCCACCUGGGACAACACUGACGCUGAGGCACGAAAGCGUGGGGAGCAAACAGGAUUAGACACCCUGGUAGUCCACGCCCUAAACGAUGCGAACUGGAUGUUGGUCUCAACUCGGAGAUCAGUGUCGAAGCUAACGCGUUAAGUUCGCCGCCUGGGGAGUACGGUCGCAAGACUGAAACUCAAAGGAAUUGACGGGGGCCCGCACAAGCGGUGGAGUAUGUGGUUUAAUUCGAUGCAACGCGAAGAACCUUACCUGGCCUUGACAUGUCGCGAAUCCUGCAGAGAUGCGGGAGUGCCUUCGGGAAUGCGAACACAGGUGCUGCAUGGCUGUCGUCAGCUCGUGUCGUGAGAUGUUGGGUUAAGUCCCGCAACGAGCGCAACCCUUGUCCUUAGUUGCCAGCACGUCAUGGUGGGAACUCUAAGGAGACUGCCGGUGACAAACCGGAGGAAGGUGGGGAUGACGUCAAGUCAUCAUGGCCCUUACGGCCAGGGCUACACACGUACUACAAUGGUCGGUACAGAGGGUUGCCAUACCGCGAGGUGGAGCCAAUCCCAGAAAGCCGAUCCCAGUCCGGAUCGAAGUCUGCAACUCGACUUCGUGAAGUCGGAAUCGCUAGUAAUCGCAGAUCAGCUAUGCUGCGGUGAAUACGUUCCCGGGCCUUGUACACACCGCCCGUCACACCAUGGGAGUGAGUUGCUCCAGAAGCCGUUAGUCUAACCGCAAGGGGGACGACGACCACGGAGUGGUUCAUGACUGGGGUGAAGUCGUAACAAGGUAACC
rnacentral:rRNA from 1 species